rnacentral:rRNA from 1 species
AUUGAACGCUGGCGGCAGGCCUAACACAUGCAAGUCGAGCGGAUGAAGGGAGCUUGCUCCUGGAUUCAGCGGCGGACGGGUGAGUAAUGCCUAGGAAUCUGCCUGGUAGUGGGGGAUAACGUCCGGACACGGGCGCUAAUACCGCAUACGUCCUGAGGGAGAAAGUGGGGGAUCUUCGGACCUCACGCUAUCAGAUGAGCCUAGGUCGGAUUAGCUAGUUGGUGGGGUAAAGGCCUACCAAGGCGACGAUCCGUAACUGGUCUGAGAGGAUGAUCAGUCACACUGGAACUGAGACACGGUCCAGACUCCUACGGGAGGCAGCAGUGGGGAAUAUUGGACAAUGGGCGAAAGCCUGAUCCAGCCAUGCCGCGUGUGUGAAGAAGGUCUUCGGAUUGUAAAGCACUUUAAGUUGGGAGGAAGGGCAGUAAGUUAAUACCUUGCUGUUCUGACGUUACCAACAGAAUAAGCACCGGCUAACUUCGUG